rnacentral:rRNA from 1 species
AACGAACGCUGGCGGCAUGCCUAACACAUGCAAGUCGAACGAGAUCUUCGGGUCUAGUGGCGCACGGGUGCGUAACGCGUGGGAAUCUGCCCUUUGGUUCGGAAUAACAGUUGGAAACGACUGCUAAUACCGGAUGAUGACGAAAGUCCAAAGAUUUAUCGCCAGAGGAUGAGCCCGCGUAGGGUUAGCUAGUUGGUGGGGUAACGGCGCACCAAGGCGACGGUCCUUAGCUGGUCUGAGAGGAUGAUCAGCCACACUGGGACUGAGAAACGCGCCAGACUCCUACGGGAGGCAGCAGUGGGGAAUAUUGGACAAUGGGCGAAAGCCUGAGCCAGCAAUGCCGCGUGAGUGAUGAAGGCCUUAGGGUUGUAAAGCCCUUUUACCCGGGAUGAUAAUGACAGUACCGGGAGAAUAAGCUCCGGCUAACUCCGUGCCAGCCGCCGCGGUAA